GGUCCAGAUUUGAUCAUGGCUCAGGAUGAACGCUAGCUACAGGCUUAACACAUGCAAGUCGAGGGGAAACGAUAUUGGAAGCUUGCUUCCGAUAGGCGUCGACCGGCGCACGGGUGAGUAACGCGUAUCCAACCUGCCCAUCACUUGGGGAUAACCUUGCGAAAGUAAGACUAAUACCCAAUGACGUCUCUAGAAGACAUCUGAAAGAGAUUAAAGAUUUAUCGGUGAUGGAUGGGGAUGCGUCUGAUUAGCUUGUUGGCGGGGUAACGGCCCACCAAGGCAACGAUCAGUAGGGGUUCUGAGAGGAAGGUCCCCCACAUUGGAACUGAGACACGGUCCAAACUCCUACGGGAGGCAGCAGUGAGGAAUAUUGGUCAAUGGACGAGAGUCUGAACCAGCCAAGUAGCGUGCAGGAUGACGGCCCUAUGGGUUGUAAACUGCUUUUAUAAGGGAAUAAAGUGAGUCUCGUGAGACUUUUUGCAUGUACCUUAUGAAUAAGGACCGGCUAAUUCCGUGCCAGCAGCCGCGGUAAUACGGAAGGUCCGGGCGUUAUCCGGAUUUAUUGGGUUUAAAGGGAGCGUAGGCCGGAGAUUAAGCGUGUUGUGAAAUGUAGACGCUCAACGUCUGCACUGCAGCGCGAACUGGUUUCCUUGAGUACGCACAAAGUGGGCGGA
rnacentral:rRNA from 1 species